rnacentral:rRNA from 1 species
UACGUAGGCAGCAAGCGUUGUUCGGAGUUACUGGGCGUAAAGGGUGUGUAGGCGGUUGUCCAAGUUGGAUGUGAAAGCCUUGAGCUCAACUCAAGAAAUGCAUUCAGGACUGGAUGGCUAGAGGACCGGAGAGGAUAGUGGAAUUCCCAGUGUAGUGGUGAAAUACGUAGAGAUUGGGAAGAACACCAGUGGCGAAGGCGGCUAUCUGGACGGUUUCUGACACUAAGACUCGAAAGCGUGGGGAGCAAACAGG